rnacentral:rRNA from 1 species
CUUCGGGUCUAGUGGCGCACGGGUGCGUAACGCGUGGGAAUCUGCCCUUGGGUUCGGAAUAACAGUGAGAAAUUGCUGCUAAUACCGGAUGAUGUCUUCGGACCAAAGAUUUAUCGCCCAGGGAUGAGCCCGCGUAGGAUUAGCUAGUUGGUGGGGUAAUGGCCUACCAAGGCGACGAUCCUUAGCUGGUCUGAGAGGAUGAUCAGCCACACUGGGACUGAGACACGGCCCAGACUCCUACGGGAGGCAGCAGUGGGGAAUAUUGGGCAAUGGGCGAAAGCCUGAUUCAGCAAUGCCGCGUGAGUGAUGAAGGCCUUAGGGUUGUAAAGCUCUUUUACCAGAGAUGAUAAUGACAGUACCUGGAGAAUAAGCCCCGGCUAACUCCGUGCCAGCAGCCGCGGUAAU